rnacentral:rRNA from 1 species
GUCCUACGGGCGGCUGCAGUCGAGGAUCUUCGGCAAUGGGGGCAACCCUGACCGAGCGACGCCGCGUGUGCGAUGAAGGCCUUCGGGUUGUAAAGCACUGUCGAGGGGGAGAAAAGCGAAAGCUUGAUCUAUCCCUGGAGGAAGCACGGGCUAAGUUCGUGCCAGCAGCCGCGGUAAGACGAACCGUGCGAACGUUGUUCGGAAUCACUGGGCUUAAAGGGCGCGUAGGCGGGCUGCCAAGUCCGGGGUGAAAUCCCACGGCUCAACCGUGGAACUGCCCUGGAUACUGGCGGUCUCGAGGGAGGUAGGGGCUUGCGGAACUAUGCGUGGAGCGGUGAAAUGCGUUGAUAUGCAUAGGAACUCCGGUGGCGAAGGCGGCAAGCUGGACCUCAUCUGACGCUGAGGCGCGAAAGCCAGGGGAGCGAACGGGAUUAGAUACCCUAGUAGUCCGU